UAGGGGGUGUAGCAAUACAUCACCGCGCGGACGGGUGCGUAACACGUGGGAAUANNNNNNUUGGUUCGGAACAACGCAGGGAAACUUGCGCUAAUACCGAAUGUGCCCUUACGGGGAAAGAUUUAUCGCCAAAGGAUUAGCCCGCGUAGGAUUAGCUAGUUGGUGAGGUAAUGGCUCACCAAGGCUCCGAUCCUUAGCUGUUCUGAGAGGAAGAUCAGCCACACUGGGACUGAGACACGGCCCAGACUCCUACGGGAGGCAGCAGUUGGGAAUCUUGGACAAUGGGGGAAACCCUGAUCCAGCCAUGCCGCGUGAGUGAUGAAGGCCUUCGGGUUGUAAAACUCUUUCGACGGGGACGAUAAUGACGGUACCCGUAGAAGAAGCUCCGGCUAACUUCGUGC
rnacentral:rRNA from 1 species